GGGUGAUCUGCCCUCAACUUCGGGAUAAGCUUGGGAAACUGGGUCUAAUACCGGAUAGGACCGAUGGUUGCAUGACUGUUGGUGGAAAGCCUUGUGCGGUUGGGGAUGGGCCCGCGGCCUAUCAGCUUGUUGGUGGGGUUAUGGCCUACCAAGGCGACGACGGGUAGCCGACCUGAGAGGGUGAUCGGCCACACUGGGACUGAGACACGGCCCAGACUCCUACGGGAGGCAGCAGUGGGGAAUAUUGCACAAUGGGCGCAAGCCUGAUGCAGCGACGCCGCGUGAGGGAUGACGGCCUUCGGGUUGUAAACCUCUUUCGCGUAUGACGAAGCCUUCGGGUGACGGUAGUGCGAGAAGAAGCACCGGCCAACUACGUGCCAGCAGCCGCGGUAAUACGUAGGGUGCGAGCGUUGUCCSGAAUUACUGGGCGUAAAGAGCUCGUAGGCGGUUUGUCGCGUCGUCUGUGAAAUUCUGCAGCUUAACUGCAGGCGUGCAGGCGAUACGGGCAGACUUGAGUACUACAGGGGAGACUGGAAUUCCUGGUGUAGCGGUGAAAUGCGCAGAUAUCAGGAGGAACACCGGUGGCGAAGGCGGGUCUCUGGGUAGUAACUGACGCUGAGGAGCGAAA
rnacentral:rRNA from 1 species